ACAGAGGGGGCAAGCGUUAUUCGGAAUUAUUGGGCGUAAAGGGCGCGUAGGCGGCUUGGCAAGUGGAUGGUGAAAUCCCUCGGCUUAACCGAGGAACUGCCAUCCAGACUGCUUUGCUUGAGUCCGGGAGAGGUAAGUGGAAUUCCGAGUGUAGAGGUGAAAUUCGUAGAUAUUCGGAAGAACACCAGUGGCGAAGGCGACUUACUGGACACAUAUUGACGCUGAGGUGCGAAAGCGUGGGGAGCAAACAGGA
rnacentral:rRNA from 1 species